GACGAACGCUGGCGGCGUGCCUAAUACAUGCAAGUCGAACGCACAGUUUAUACCGUAGCUUGCUACACCAUAGACUGUGAGUUGCGAACGGGUGAGUAACGCGUAGGUAACCUGCCUGGCAGCGGGGGAUAACUAUUGGAAACGAUAGCUAAUACAGCAUAAUAUUAAUUAUUCCAUGAUAAUUAAUUGAAAGGUGCAAUUGCACCACUACCAGAUGGACCUGCGUUGUAUUAGCUAGUAGGGGAGGUAACGGCUCACCUAGGCGACGAUACAUAGCCGACCUGAGAGGGUGGUCGGCCAAACUGGGACUGAGACAAGGCCCAGACUCCUAAGGGAGGCAGCAGUAGGGAAUCUUCGGCAAUGGACGAAAGUCUGACCGAGCAACGCCGCGUGAGGGAAGAAGGUUUUCGGAUCGUAAAGCUCUGUUGUAAGAGAAGAAAGGGUGUGAGAGUGGAAAGUUCACACUGUGACGGUAGCUUACCAGAAAGGGACGGCUAACUACGUG
rnacentral:rRNA from 1 species